GAUCCUCUCUCCUCUCCCGCCCCCGAAACCCCUCUGUCCGUGUCGACAUCGUGCCCCCAGCACCAUCGAAAACCAGCAUCCCGGCGUCCACGAGCGCGCCGAGCUCGACGAGAAGGGAGCGAGGCCGCCGCGGCUUCCCAGCUCCGCGGGUGCAGAAAUGUUUGUUUUCUGGGAUGCAAACUGCUAAACUCCAGGCGUCUGAACUGGAACCCAUAACUGAACUAGUUAAAAGCUGGCAGGUUUCUGAAGAUUUAAAGAACACUUUUCUUGUUUUGAUUUUUUUUUUCCUCCCUUUUCCUUUUAACAUGGGGGUUGCAAAGAGAGGUGGUCUCGAAAGAGCACUGGCUUUAGUAGUUGGAAGGAAGGCGAGCCAGUUUUCCCCCUGGCUCCGGUGGGCGACCGCAAAUCCAGCCCCGGUCGCUGGGUCGCUCAAACUAGCUAUUUCUUAA
rnacentral:lncRNA from 1 species